rnacentral:rRNA from 1 species
UAGGGAGGCAGCAGUGAGGAAUAUUGGUCAAUGGCCGAGAGGCUGAACCAGCCAUGCCGCGUACGGGAGGACGGCCCUAUGGGUUGUAAACCGCUUUUGUUGGGGAGCAAUAAGGGUCACGUGUGGCCUGAUGAGAGUACCCAGCGAAUAAGCAUCGGCUAACUCCGUGCCAGCAGCCGCGGUAAU